rnacentral:rRNA from 1 species
CCUACGGGAGGCUGCAGUAGGGAAUAUUGCUCAAUGGAGGAAACCCUGACGCAGCAACGCCGCGUGGGUGAUGAAGGUUUUCGGAUUGUAAACCCCUUUUGUUAGAGAAGAUAAUGACGGUAUCUAACGAAUAAGCACCGGCUAACUCCGUGCCAGCAGCCGCGGUACUCCGGAGGGUGCAACCGUUACUCUGAAUCACUGGUCGUAAAGGGUGCGUUGGAGGGAUAGAAAGUCAGCUGUGAAAUGCUAUUGGGUAACGAUAGCACUGCAUUUGAAACUGUUAUACUAGAGUAUUGGAGAGGUAGGUGGAAUUCUGGGUGUAGGGGUAAAAUGCGUAGAGAUAAAGAGGAAUACUCAUUGCGAAGGCGACCUGCUAGAACAUAACUGACGCUGAUGCGCGAAAGCGUGGGGAGCAAACAGGAUUAGAUACCCCUGUAGUC